ACAUACAUAUACAUGUAUACAGGGCACUUACGUGGAGGACAAUUUCAGAGGUACAGAGGCCAACCAAGAGUUACCCGCUGGAGCCUGUUUACUGGUGCUGUAGAGCCUAAAAUAGCUCAUCCAUUUCCUUUUAGGAGAGGAGCUGAUGUGAGGCUUCGGGCCAUGUUCCUGUUAAUGCGUGAGGCUCAUCACCGUCUGAUGGCUGAGGAAGAGAGGCAGCUCUCCCCAGCAACACUGAGGGAUGGGGCUCCCGGCCACUAUUGCAGCACCUAGAGUACAGAGGAGCCUUUUAUGUGGAGCUGCAAAACAUCCACUCACCUGGAUUGGUAGCGUUUGUGUUUUGGAAGCCAAGUUAAACAGAGUGUGGGAUUUUGUUUCUCCUGGAUGGCUACAGGAAAAGCCCUGAUUAAUUACCAUUUAGUAUAAUGUGAGAUGAAAGGCGAGGACUCCACGUAGUAAGGGCUCGAGGGGAAGAAGCAGACACUUGCACUCAAGGCUGAGAUCCAGCUUUUCAUCCUGCUCCCUUGCUGUGGCUAUGGCUCCGCAUCUGUAUCUGCAGAAACUCCAGGAGCCCCUUCCAAUCAGUUAGCAGGUGCUCUCCUUUUAAAUGCUCUCCACUAAUUGUAAAUUGUGAGCCAGGGAUAUGACAGAGAUAUUGUUGCAGAUUGUCUGGCAGACAGACUAUUGUUUCCAAGAUACUUUCCUUCCAUUCCCUGAGGGCAGGGUGUUCCCUGCUGCGAUAUACUUUCCCAAAGGGAGGAAGGACUAGGAAAGAAAAGCAGCCACUGCCACCACCUUUUCGAAGAGGAACUGCUGGCACACGCUUCGAGGGGAGCAGGAGAACGAAGCUGCAUCUUGUCCGUGUCAUGGAGAUUCGAGAAUUAUUUAGGCCAGGUUGGGUGGGGAGCGCAGCCUGCCACCCAGUGCAAAGGGAGCAGUUGCAGACUGGGGUCCUCCUGCUCUGGGGCAAGAUCCCUG